ensembl:lncRNA
GUUAACCCUGUCAUUUUGUUGCCCGCCUUACUUUGCUACCUGACAACUUUACGGUUUUUACUUUUUAAUUACUGUAUAUAUUUUUAGUUUUUCCCUCACUCAACUUUUUUUUCAUUCAACUUUUUCACUCCGGACGCUUUAUCUGCACAUGGUUCGUCGGGACUUCCAACAGCAGAAGCUAAGUAGUAACAUUAACUAAUUUAAUUAACUCUAAUUGCAGUCGCUGUACUAAUAAUAUACAGGAGAACGAUCGCCUUACGGCGAGGAUAGGUGUGCUGUAAGCCAGCUUCAGAUGCAAUCGUUAGGCAAGGGUAAUUUCAGUGUAGGAAAGGAUGAAACAGCGUCUGUGCCACCAGUAAGUACAGAUAGUAACGUUAGUAUAAAUCUCCUCGCUCGGUCACGGAGGUAAAGACAGUUUCAAGUUCGAUAUUUAACGGAUAUUCGCGCUUUCAAACCACUUGAGCCACAGACUACAAAUAUUUGUCAUGAUGUUGGAAAAAUUGAGCACAACAUUGCACAGGUCUUAUUUUCACGAUUUAGACUUUAAUUUGCUUUCCAAAGCUAUUGUGUAAAUGUGAGCAGCGUCUUGUAUUCCUAGUUGAAUUAGAUAGGGAGCGUGAAAAGUACACACUUUUUUUUGUACAUUCAAAUUUCAAUACCUCCUUGGUCAUGUGACCAAGUUACUAUUUCUAACUGGGAAAAUAAAUUCCUUGAUUUAGGUAAAUCUUUGUGAAGAGGUAUGAGGGUUGUGAUAUGGGUCAUUUAAUAGUAAAAAAAUUUAAGGCAUCAAUACAUUUCUAUAUUGCUUCCCCAGUAUCUGCAUGAACCAUCAGGCCAAGUGUUUUUGGUUGACCCUGCUGGACAGAAAGAGAAGGAGGAAUCGGAACAUGCUGCAUUCAAAAUCAGACAUGCGCAGAGCAGACUUCAACCACAGGGAUUCUCUGUAAAGAGAGAGUACUCCAAAAGGCACAGACACACCCCUUGACUUUCAAUUGGCACCGUUGACAUAGAAUACUUCAAAAUGAGAAGAUCCUGCCAUGGAAAAGACAACUGGGUGGACAUAAAGUGUAAAGGAGGGAAAAUAACUCCCACCAUGCAGCAGGACACCUUCAGCUGUGGGGUCUUUAUAAUGCAGAAUCUUCAAAAACACAUGGAGCAACUUGGAAAAGAAAUGGCUGAGGAUAUACUAAAAAUGUCUGAGUUCAACAAAGCCAACAACUGUUUCAUGUGUGCCACUGAUAAAGAACCUGGAUGUGGCCCAAAGACUGACUGGGUUAGUAACUUUAUUUAACAUGUUUAUAAUCUUUUGACAACAGUGACACCAUGUAAGACAAUUUAUGAUAUAACUCAAUGGAUGGCUAAUUCGUCAUACUGCAUUGAUAUUAUUUAUAAUGUGUUACACUUUGUUUUGUUUUGAUUGAAUGUUUGCAUGCCAACGGUGGUUCCAUGUGCUGUGCCUAGGAAUGAAGACAAAAGAGUUCAACAGAGUAAAGAACACAAACUAGAAGUGCAGUCUUUGUUGUUGUAAAUGUAUGCUAUACCCCAUCCACACUGAAGAGGCUCUGACAUGUACAUCAACCAGGGAUAAUGUCUGCUAUACCCCAUCCACACUGAAGAGGCUCUGAAAUGUACAUCAACCAGGGAUAAUGUCUGCUAUACCCCAUCCACACUGAAGAGGCUCUGAAAUGUACAUCAACCAGGGAUAAUGUAUGCUAUACCCCAUCCACACUGAAGAGGCUCUGACAUGUACAUCAACCAGGGAUAAUGUAUACUAUACCCCAUCCACACUGAAGAGGCUCUGACAUGUACAUCAACCAGGGAUAAUGUAUACUAUACCCCAUCCACACUGAAGAGGCUCUGACAUGUACAUCAACCAGGGAUAAUGUAUGCUAUACCCCAUCCACACUGAAGAGGCUCUGAAAUGUACAUCAACCAGGGAUAAUGUAUGCUAUACCCCAUCCACACUGAAGAGGCUCUGACAUGUAUAUCAACCAGGGAUAAUGUAUGCUAUACCCCAUCCACACUGAAGAGGCUCUGACAUGUAUAUCAACCAGGGAUAAAGAGAAAGUUAACAUGGUGAAAUGUUUCAUACUUAUUUGAAGUUAAGUGUCUGUUGACACGUUGGAAAAGAUUAAAGGUCUACAAUUUGUUUAAUUUGUCAAUAUUAUAUUUUUAUUCAUUGAUUUACUGGCCACCAUUACUGUGGUUACAUGUUCAGUAUAUGUAUUGACCAGCAAACCCACUGCAGCCUACCUCACCAGCUCACUCUCCAUCCCUGCUUUGGACAAUUAAUAGCAUGACUCUCGUACUUUGCCCCUUUCCUUUAUGGUUGAUAUUAACGACGAAAGGAGAUAUUAUCUGUCUCUCUCCUGUUAAAUACUGUGGAAAAAUAAAAAACAGGGAAAAUAGGUACUUAGAACUAGCAAUUAUUGUAGAUACAUUUUAAAGAAAUGGGUAAACAACACUGGACUGAACCCCCUAAUUGUCAAACUAAUAAUAAUGUACAACAAUAUAGAAGAUACUUGACUAGAGGUUAUGCAAUAUGGGUGUAUAUUCACUGUAUGCUUCUUCGGUGUGUAAUUGACAUGACAAAGGAGCUAUUGCAAAUUUGAAACUUUGAAAAAUGUAUGUGACACUGCAUGAUUUUACAGUACACAAACAAGAGUGUGCAAUAUAGAAGGGUAGUCAGCGGUCACAUGACCAAGGAGCUAUUGAAAUUCUACAUUUUGAAAAAUUCAUGUAAAACCAUGUGAGAUAAAAAAAAAAAAUGGACAAACUAAAGGGUGUGUAUUGUGUGUCUAUGCCAUUGGAUUAGCUACAACCAGUUUUGAAAGUGUUUGGAGUAAUGGUUAAAGAGCUAUUGAAAUUUGAAAAAUGUGAUUUGUCACUAUGUUGACUGUCCCUAACUGCUGUUGGUGGACGUAAGGAAAACUACAGGCGAAUAUCCGUCGAAUAUCCAACCUGAAACUGUCUUUACCUCGGGUUCCCAAAAGAUAGAAUUUGUAGAUAAUUGGCCCUCUUUCUGGAACUCACCCACAAACAGGACCAAGCCUGGCCUGUUGAGGAGUGACAGACUCCAUCCUAGCUGGAGGAGUGCUCUCAUCUUAUAUACCAACAUAGACGGGGCUCUAACUCCUCUAGCUCCACAAUUAAAUAGGGUGCAGGCCAGGCAGCAAGCUGUUAGCCAGCCAGCCUGCCAGCAUAGUAGAGUCUGCCACUAGCACAGUCAGUGUAGUCAUCUCAGCUAUCCCCAUUGAGACCGUGUCUGUGCCUCGACCUAGGUUGGGCAAAACUAAACAUGGCGUUGUUCGCCUUAGCAAUCUCACUAGAAUAAAGACCUCCUCCAUUCCUUCCAUUAUUGAAAGAGAUUGUGAUACCUCACAUCAAAGGCAGUUAUAGUCAAUGAACUAAUCACUGUUCAUAAUCUUGAUGUGAUUGGCCUGACUGAAACAUGGCUUAAGCCUGAUGAAUUUACUGUGUUAAAUGAGGCCUCACCUCCUGGUUACACUAGUGACCAUAUCCCCUGUGUAUGCCGCAAAGGCAGAAGUGUUGCUAACAUUUACGAUAGCAAAUUUCAAUUUCAGUAU